rnacentral:rRNA from 1 species
UACGGGGGGGGCAAGCGUUGUUCGGAAUUACUGGGCGUAAAGGGCUCGUAGGCGGCCAGGUAGGUCCGGUGUGAAAACUCGAGGCUUAACCUCGAGAUGUCAUCGGAAACCAUCUGGCUAGAGUCCGGAAGAGGAGAGUGGAAUUCCUGGUGUAGCGGUGAAAUGCGCAGAUAUCAGGAAGAACACCAAUGGCGAAGGCAGCUCUCUGGGACGGUACUGACGCUGAGACGCGAAAGCGUGGGGAGCGAACAGG